AUACGGGGGGUGCAAGCGUUAAUCGGAAUUACUGGGCGUAAAGCGCGCGUAGGCGGUUUGCUCAGUCGGAUGUGAAAGCCCAGGGCUCAACCUUGGAACUGCAUACGAUACUGGCAAACUAGAGUGUGAGAGAGGAUAGUGGAAUUUCCGGUGUAGCGGUGAAAUGCGUAGAUAUCGGAAGGAACAUCAGUGGCGAAGGCGACUGUCUGGCUCAACACUGACGCUGAGGUGCGAAAGCGUGGGUAGCAAACAGCAUUAGAAACCCCUGUAGUCC
rnacentral:rRNA from 1 species